UUCUUUCUAAACACACUUUCCCUCUUCCAAUAACAGUUUGAAAUCCAAUAGCAGCAGCAGAAAUGUUGUAGGAAAUGAGAAGACAGCAAUAUUUCGGCAUAUACUAAUUUGUAUAAUUUAAAUUGUCUGAAAUGACAGUGCAUUUCAAAUAGCUAAGAGUGUUAAUGACCUUUUAAUGAUGCCUCUGCAGGAAGUUGGAAUUCAGUGGUUCUCUAUUUUGAGUUGCAUGAUGAUUUUGUAUAUUCUGUCAAUCCAAUGAGUGACAUUGAUUAUAAAUUACUAUCUGAGAAAGAUUACUUAUAUCUUUUAUCACUUGUAAAUCCAAUUAGCUCAUGGUUUUUGUUUUUUUGUAUUUUUUACAGGCUCUAAAAUGGGCAGUCCUUUCAAGUGAUCUUGUGCUGAAAUCUCACUAAAGAAAUCCAGUUUCAUUGUCAUUAAAGAUAUUUUACAGUAAAAGGAAGGGCAUACGCUUUUGGUCAAAGCCCAAGUCUUUAGAGGAAGAGUUGGUGACAUGAAACCAAAUCAUAGCAGUAAGUUUAGUCUUUUUAUUUCUUUCCCUCUUCCUCCUUCCAAUGGCAGUUAUAAGAUCCAAUAGUAGCAGCUGAAAUGUAGUAGAGAAAAUAAUUCAAGUGACCUGAAUUGUCAGAAAAUUUCAAAUAAUUGAGAGGGUUAAGAGGACAGUCCCUGGCAAGGGGAGGGGAGGUGAUUUUGAGUUAGCUAUCCUAUGUUAUAUGUACACAAAUGAGGAAACUACCAAAUAACUGUUAGAGCCCUAACUGGUUAAUUUCAGGUUAACUAUGUACAUGGGUAAUUAGCACCAGGUACACCUGUAUGGACUUAUGCUUAUUGCAAUCUUGCAUACAGCAUUUAAUAAUGACACUGCAUAGAUGAGAGUACAUCAAUGUCCAAAGAACACAUUUAUACCAAUAUCAGAAAGAUUUGAAAUUACAGUACAUGAAAA